UUGAAAUUAAUUCAUCCGUAAGGUGUUGGGUUAAGUCCCGCAACGAGCGCACCCUCGUGUUUAGUUGCCAUCGUUGAAUUUGGAACCCUGAACAGACUGCCGGUGAUGAGCCGGAGGAAGGUGAGGAUGACUACAAA
rnacentral:ncRNA from 1 species